rnacentral:rRNA from 1 species
UACGUAGGGACCGAGCGUUGUUCGGAUUCAUUGGGCGUAAAGGGUGCGUAGGUGGCGCUGUAAGUCGGGUGUGAAAUUUCGGAGCUUAACUCCGAAACUGCAUUCGAUACUGCGGUGCUUGAGGACUGGAGAGGAGACUGGAAUUCAUGGUGUAGCAGUGAAAUGCGUAGAGAUCAUGAGGAAGACCAGUGGCGAAGGCGGGUCUCUGGACAGUUCCUGACACUGAGGCACGAAGGCCAGGGGAGCAAACGGG